UUCGUCUCAAACCCUAAUUAAUCAAUCGAUCAAUUGAAAUUGAAUCGUGUUGUGAUGAAUGAAAACCUAGAGGAAGUUGUUGUUGUUUACCGUAGAUCUGAGGAUGAAAAUGAAAUAUAGGUGGAUACAGUGUGUGUGUGUGUGUGAAAAAACAGUGUUGGAUCUGAGAAGAUGAGUUGUGUAAAAAGUUGAUUUUGAUGAACUUGAAAUGAAAAUUAGUUGGAACUUGUUCCGGGUUGGUAACGGUUUGGUUCAUUUCAGUAUCGUUAUUAUGUUAUGGUACUAG
rnacentral:lncRNA from 1 species